rnacentral:lncRNA from 1 species
UAGCCAACACCUAAGUGGAUUAUGAUAUUUUUCUCUCAUUUUAUAAGUUUAAUUUUCUUCAAAUUUAUUAUGAUUAUUUCUAAUUAAAAAUUUGAGAGAUAAAUAAAAUUUUAAGUAUGAUCAAUGAUUUAAUUAAUAGAUAUUGAGGUUCUAAAACUAUCCUAAGAUUGGUUUGAAUUGGUUAGAUUUUGAUUAGGAUUUGUUUAAGAAUUGAUUAGAAUUUAGAAUUUGAUUAGAAUUUGAUUUAGGAUUUGAUUAGAAUUUGAUUUAGGAUUUGAUUAGAAUUUGAUUUAAGAUUUUAUUAGAAUUUGAUUUAGGAUUUAGGAUCUAAUUAGGAUUUAUUUAGAAUUUAAGAUCUAAUUGGGAUUGAUUAAGGAUUUAGAAUUUCUGUAGGAUUUCUUUAAGAAUUUUUUUGGAUCUUUUUUUGGAUUUCUUUAGUAUUUCUUUUUUUAUUUCUUUUAGAUUUUUUUAGGUUUCUUUAGGAUUUCUUUAUUAUUUCUUUAUUAUUUUUUUAGAAGUUCUUUAAGAUUUCUUUGAAUUUUUUUUAUAAUUUAUUUAAAAUUUUAAUUAGACUUGAUUAAUAUUUGAUUAUGUUUUUCAAGCUUUAAUUAUAAUUUAUAUAUGAUCCUAUUUCAGUUGUUAGGAUUUGUUGUUAGAAUUUUCUUUUACCUUCUAGAAUCAAGUGCCUAAUAUAUUUUCAAGCAAGAUUUUGCAUAAUAUAAUAUAUUUGGUAAACUUGAGGUAAAAAGCUUGAAGUAGAAGAUGUUUGGAAUUUUUUUUGUUUAUUUGAAAUAUGAAAAACAAAGGCAAAUAUGAAAGGAGGAGCUUUUGGUGGUACUUGAGUUCAUGCUUCAAGUGGAGUUAGAAGUGGAGCUACAAGUAGAAGACAAGGUAUAUAUUUUGAUCUUAAUUCUAUAAGAAUUUUUGAUGCUUUUAUCCUAUUUAUGCAACAACAACAGGUUAAAGAUUGCAAAGAAGAUUUGGCAAACAAAACAUUAUAAGUGGUUAUGGACAAGAUUGAUUGAUUUAAAGGAAAAGAUAUUAUAAAAUAUUUAAAAUAUUAUGUAAAAGAAAUAGAAUUGAAGCAUGUUUUAAAGAAGGAGAUGGUUCAAUUAUUUGAAUUAGCUAUUGCAGUAGAGAUAAAGAAUCAUAUAAGGUCCAUUAUAGGACAUUUUGGAGGUUUAUGGAAAAAAUUAUUUCAAACAUUAAAGGAUGAUUGUUUUUUAGAAAAUAAUGAUAGAAUUAUAAAGAAGUCAUUUUUUGAAUGCAUUGAAAGAAAUAAGAAGGAUCUUUUAGCAAAAAAAAUAUUAUAAAAGUUCAAAAAGUAAUAUUCUUAUUUAUAAAAAUAAAAAAUAAAAAAAAUUAUUGGAUCUAAGUAAAGUAGAGUUUUUUCUUCAAGCAACUGAUGGAAAGUUGCAAGGAAAGUUAGAAAUCUUACUUGAAGAUAAAAAAAAAAAAAAAAAGAUGAAGAAUUAACAAUAAAUUGAAAAGAAGUAGAAGAGACCAUAGGAUUGUUUACAAAAAAUAAAAUAAAAUAAAAUAAAAUAAGGUUGAUAUUUAAAGACCAUUGUAAGUAUCUAAAAAAUAAAUAUAUAUUAUCCAUCCUACAUCUAUGAUUCAAUUUUUAAUGACUACAUCAAAAAAAAAAAAAAAAAAAAAAAAAAAAAUGGCUUUGAUGAAAUCAUACGAGGAAUGAAAGAUUUGCAAAUAAAAUUUUUAAAAGUUGAAGAGAAAGUUCGAUCAUCAAGAGUAUCAAUAAGAUAAAAUUUAAAGUCAAUAGAAGGUAUAGUACAUAAGUACAUAUAGUGUAAUAGCUUAGAUCAUUCAAAAAGAGAAUGUGAAAAUUUUACAAUGGCGCUACAUAAAGGGAUUGUUUGUUUCAAAGAUGGUAUGAUAUAUUUAAAAGAAAGUAGAAAACAAUUGGAGACAAAUUUUAAUAAAGAUAGAAUAAAAGUAUUUAUAAAAAGUGGUUUUAAAGUACAUACAAUCUUAAACAAUGAAGUAUUAAUAUAUUGGAUAGAAGCAAAUACAGACAAAUAUUUAAGCAUAAAUCUAAAAAAUUUAAAAGAAUCUAUUUUUUUGUGUUCAAAUACAAUGAAUUAUGCUAAAAAUAAAAAAAAUUAUUAGAGGUGAUUUAAAAUAUAUUAGCAAUAACAAUUGAAAAAUUAUUAGAGGGAAUGAUCCAAUAGAUAGAUUAUUGGUGCAUAUUUAUAUUGCAAGGAGUCAACAUGAAGUAUUAAAAGAAGAAAUUGAAGGAGAGAUAGAAAUAAUGAAGGGACAUCAAAAAGAACUAUAAGGAGAGAAAAAAAAACAAUAAAAAAAGAAUCCAAUGUAUAAAGAGAGAACAAAGAAUAUAUCUAUAAAAGAAAAGAAAUUAUAAAAGAAAAAAUAAAGGCUCAUAUUUAUAAAUUAUAAUGAGAUAUUGAAGUUGCUAUAGAUUUGAAGAAAGUAUUGAAAGUUUAGAUUUUAUAUAAAAAGAUCAAAUUUACAAUUAGUAAAAUCCUAAAAAUUACAAAGCAUGUAUUUCAUGAAAUUAUUAUAGAUACAAUAAAGAAAAAAUAAUAAUUUCUAAAAAAUACUAUGACACAAAAUGCACAAGAAAUUAGAGCAAUACAAAGUAAUGAAGAUGAAGAAGUUGAAAUGUAAUUUUUUGGAAAAGUCUUGCAAGUAAGAUUUAUAAAAAAAAAUAUGAUUUAAGCUUCUAGUCAUUAUUCUCAAAGUAAUUAGACAAGAGCUACUAUACAAAUUUUGAUACAAUUGAAAAAUUUAAAAGAAUCAAUUAUAGCAUUGAUUGAUCAUAGUUCGAAAAUUAAUUUGAUAUCAAAAGAAUUGUAUAAAAGGAGAAAAUGGCCCAUUGAUAUUGAACAUGGAUAGAUAAUAAGUAUAGCAAAUAAUUCAAAAGAAGAUUUGUAUAGAGCUUGUCAAAAUAUCAAGGUGACAAUAAGAGAUGUUAUUCAUGAACAAAAAAAAAAUUGUACAAGAUAUGACUACAUAUCCUAUUAUAUUGGAAAAACUAUAUAUUAUUACUACACAAAUAGAAAAAAAGAUAUUAGAUGAUGGUUCAAGCUAUGGAAGGAUAAGAAGUCAAGAUAGAAAGAGAGAGAUGCAAUUUUCAACAGUUUAUGCAAAUCACGAAAGAAAUCAAAUUACUUUGAGGAAGCAUUCUUUCCUAAAGAUACAUAAAGAAUUUGAAGAUCUUAAAAAUUCAAAAGACUUUUAUUAGAGAUCAUUAUAAAAUAAGAUUGCAAUAAUAGAAAGAAUGAUAGCUUUCUAUCUAAUAAAAAAAAUAAGGUUAUUAUAAGAUUAUCAUGGGAUAGAUAUAUUUCAUUCAAAAAUAUAGAUAAUUUUAGAAGGAUAGAGAAGAAAAAUAUCAAAAAUAUGGAAUAUGAAUUGAAGAAAUGUAGAGUGAUUGAUGAAGAUGAAUAAAUAUCAUAGAUGUUUGAAGAAUCUUGCUUAGGUAAAAUUAUAGAUAUUUUAUAAAUAUUAUUAGAUUUAGAUUUUGAAGGUAGUGAUAAAAUAAUAAAUGUGCAUUCUAAAAAAAUUUAUAAUAGAAUGAAAGAAUAUGUGGAUAAAUAUGAAGUAAAGGUGAACACAAAAUAUAAGACCAUUGCAAAGAAGCUUAAACUAGUGGCAUUGCUACUACCAUCAAAUUUUGAGGAAAGAGUUGAAAAGACUUCUAUAUAAUCUAAUUUAAGAAAUUCAAGAAUAAUAGGACAUGAAUUCAAGGAUGAAUUGAUAUUAGAUGGUUUGAAAGUUGGAUAUGAGGAAUUUUUAAUAAGGGAUGAAGUGAGAUGUUUCAAAGAAAUGCUUUCACAAUAUGGUAAGGCAUUUGCAUUUGAUUCAUAUAAAAUAAAAUGCGUUGAUCCAAGUAUUGUAGUAUCUAUGGUUACUUUCUUAAUUCUAGAUGAACCAUAGAAUUUGAGGCCAUUUUCAAUUCUAAAGGCCCAUUUGCUAAUACUAGUUGAAUUACUCAAUGAAAAGAUUAAGAUGGAAAUUUUAGAACCAUCUAUUGUAUCAUAUUCUAAUUGGUGGUUCACAGUAUCUAAAAAAAAUAGGACAUUGAGGUUUAUUCAAGAUAUGCAAUGCUAAAUAAAGUAACUAUUAGAAAGAUGGAUUCAGCUGCAACUGUAGAUGAAUUUGUAGAAGCAUUUGUAAAGAAAGCAAUUUAUUCUAUGGGAGAUCUUUAUUCAAGAUAUAAUCAAUUUCAAUUGGAAAUACAAAAUAGAAAUUUAACAACUAUAAAGACACCAUUAGAAUUGAUCAAAAUGUGUACUUUAUUACAAAGAGCUUCAAAUUUUGUAGUACACAUAAUAAAUGGAAUGCAUAAGAUAUUAAGAAAAUUUAUUUCAAGUAUAUCAAUGCUUUUUCUAGAUGAUGUGCUAAUUAAGGGAAAUGAAGAAGAAAAAAAAGAUGAGACUUUAGAUUAAAAGGGAUGUGAGAAGUUUGAGGUGGAUCAUAUUUAUGAUUGUGAAAAGAUUUUGACAAGGUUAAAAGAAGUUUGUUUAAUCUUAUCAAGGACAAAAUAAAUAUUUGGAAUAAAAGAAAUUUUGGUGGUAGGGCACAUAUAUGGAUCAUAUGGACAUAAGUCAAGUAUGAAAAAGGUUGAUAUUUUAAAAAAAAUUAAAUAAUAUGCAAAUAUGAUAGAAGUUAGAAGGUUGUUAGGAGCAUGUAUUUUCUAUCAUAUAUGAAUAUCUCAUUUUAUACAUAUAACAGAUCUAUUGUAUAUAUAGUUAAGAAAGAAUCAAAAGUUUCAAUAGAAAGGAGAACAAAGAAAAGUUAUGGAAAAAUUGAAAGAACUUCUUUCUUCAUCUCUAACUUUGAAGAAAGUAAAUUAUAAAUAUCAAAGGCUAGUGAUAUUAAUAAUUGAUAUAAGUCCAAUUAGAACAGACUUGAUAGUUGGACAAAAUGAUAAAUAAGGGAAUAGAUAUUCAAUAAGAUUUAAAAUAAAGAUUUUGAAUGUUAAGGAGAGGGUGUAUGUACAAAUCAAAAGAGAGUUUUGGAAUGUAGUAGUAGCUAUGAAAAAUGAAAAAGAAUACUUGAUUGAUACAUUGGUAGUUAUAAAAAAAAAAUUAUCUACUUUUAUUUUACAUGAUUAGAAGUUGUUUAAUUUCCAAUAAUUCUAUGUUAAGAUAGAAAGUAUAUGUCAAAUCUAUGAAUCCAAAAUUUAAACACAUUACAGAGAAAGAAAAUUUAGUAAUAGAUAAGUUAUCAAGAGCAAGAUGUUAAAAUGAAGAAGAUCUGAUUAAAAUAAUUAAAUAUAGAAUUUUUUGUUUUUUUAUUUUUUAUUUUUGUAUUUAAUCUAUCAUAUAUUUAAAAAAAAAAAACCAAAUUGAUUGUAUAAAGAUUCUUUUGAUAAUCACAUUAUUAAAAAUAAUCUUCAAAAAAAAUAAAAAAAUUUGAAUUGGAUGAAAAUUAUAAAUUUUAUUAAUAUUAUUUAUCUAUUUUUCAUAAGAAAAAGAAAUUAGCAAGAAUAUGUCUGUGAUUUUUUAAAAUAAUAAAUUUUAAAAAAGGGUUAUUAUUCUUUUUUUUUUUUUUUUUUUUUUUUUUUGCAAUUAUAGAUAUCAAAGACAAAAUCUAAAAAAACUUCUAAAAAGAAAAUUUAUUCAUGUACUACUAAUAUAUAUAUAUAUAUAUAUAUAUAUAUAUAUAUAUAUAUAUAUAUAUAUAUAAAUUUUAAAAAAAUUAAUUAGAAUGGUCUUUAUUUAAUAUAAAGAAAAUAGAAAGUAUUAAAUUAAGACUACAAUACAAAAAAAGCAUUGAUAAGAUUGAAAAUGGCCUUACUCUUAUCUCUCAACAUAUUAGCUAAUAAGGUCAUGUAAAAACUUUUUAUAAACUAUAAGAUUUGUGUAUCAAAUAUCUAAAUUAUAUAUUGUAUUUUUAGAAAUUUCUUAAAGUAAAGAAAAUUCUAAGAACUUUUAUAGUCACAUGAGUAACUAUAGAUCUAAUUUAUAUCUUAAAAAAUUCUAUGAAAGUUUUUUAGAAAAAUAUUCAUGAUCUUAUUGUAUUCUUUUCAACUAUUAUAUAUUUUUUUAUUACUUAUAUUUAUUUAAAUAGUAUAGUUAUUUAUCAAAAUAGGCUUGUGAAACAUACUAUAAAUAUUAUAAUUUAAAUUGAACUAUUAUUGAAAAUAAAAAUUAAAUUCUUUUAUUCACAAAAUAUAUAAAAUAUAAAAAUAAAUAAUUUUUAAUUAAAAUAUUUAUAAUUUAAUAUAUAACUUGUCAAUUAUUAUAAUUUAAUUUAAUUAUAGAAAUUAAUAUUUUUUAAGAUAUAUAUAUAUAUAUAUAUAUAUAUAUAUAACAUUUUUGUUAUAUAAUUCUAUUUGACGACAUAAAUAUAGAAAAGAUAAAAAAUCAAAAAAAAAUCAAAAAAUAUAUACUUACAAAUAUAAAGAUAUUAAAAUAAAAAAUAAAAAUAUUAAGAAUUAAAGAAUAUAAGAAUAUAAUUAAAAUAAAAAAAUAUAUAUUGAACAAAUUGAAGAUACCAUCAAUCAUCCUUCUAUAUAUGCUAGCUAUUUAAAAUGACUAUGUGGAUGCUUCUUAAAGACCUUAAGUCUUGAAAAUCAAGUUUUUAAGUUGUAUGAAGUUUCUUUUGGCAUGUUAAAAGUAUAAACUUCUAGUACUAGUUAUUAUACUAAUGUAGCAAAUCUAAAAACAUCCAAUAGCUUGAUCCAAUUCAUAAAGUGGUAUAGUUGUUUUUUAAAGAAGAUGUUAUUUAAUAAUCAUACUUCUAUUUAUUUCUAUUUACUUCUAAUUAUUUUUAUUUAUCUAAUUAAAAUUAUUAUAUAUUAUAUUAAUUUCUUUUCUAAUAAAAGAUCCAUAAUAAAUAAUCAAGUAUCUUCAAAAGUUGAUAAAGUCAAAUAUUUCUUGAAUAAUAUUUUUUAUAAAUUAUAAUCUAUGCUAUGUAUAAAAAUGAUUAUAAUUUUUUAAUUUUUAUAAUAUUCUAUAUUUAAGAAAAAAUAGCACCUAAUUAUUUAAUUUUUAUUGAGGCCUUUACAAUUAUCUUCAAAUAACACAUUUAAUAUGCCACUAAUUUUAAUACUCACUUUAAAUAAUUAUACAAAGCACCAAGUUUUUUCUAAGAUUGGGAUAUUAUAUUUUUAAUAUUUAUUCAUUCAUUUAAAUAAGAAAAUUUCUUUGUUGAAGCUUUUCAUUCUUUUUAUAGCCUUUAAAGAUAAAAUUAAUCUAAAUGAUUUUUCUUGUAAUUUUAUAAAUAUUAGUUUUAAAAUAAAUUUUCUAACUUUUAAUAUUUUAUUUUUUCAAUACGGAAUCCAUGAAAAAAUUAAGUAGAUAAGAGUCGGAUUCGAUUUUUGAUUUUUUUUUUUUAUAUUAUGUUUUUAAUGAUAAGUCAUGAAAUUUAAUAAGUGUUAUAAUUAUUAUAAAAAAUAAAAUUUUAAGCAUAUUUAUAAGAUUUAACCAUGGUUUUGUAAUGCACUUAUUAAUAUCUAAUCUAAAUUAAUGUAGAAGAGACUCUUUUUUAUAUAUUUAUUUAUUUAAAUCUAAAUAAUUUUUUAGUUUAAAUUGACUAUUAUCUAUUUUAAUAAGAAGUAGUAGUAAUUAAUUUUUUUAUUUCAUUUAUUGUAUUAUAAGUUUANNNNNNNNNNNNNNNNNNNNNNNNNNNNNNNNNNNNNNNNNNNNNNNNNNNNNNNNNNNNNNNNNNNNNNNNNNNNNNNNNNNNNNNNNNNNNNNNNNNNNNNNNNNNNNNNNNNNNNNNNNNNNNNNNNNNNNNNNNNNNNNNNNNNNNNNNNNNNNNNNNNNNNNNNNNNNNNNNNNNNNNNNNNNNNNNNNNNNNNNNNNNNNNNNNNNNNNNNNNNNNNNNNNNNNNNNNNNNNNNNNNNNNNNNNNNNNNNNNNNNNNNNNNNNNNNNNNNNNNNNNNNNNNNNNNNNNNNNNNNNNNNNNNNNNNNNNNNNNNNNNNNNNNNNNNNNNNNNNNNNNNNNNNNNNNNNNNNNNNNNNNNNNNNNNNNNNNNNNNNNNNNNNNNNNNNNNNNNNNNNNNNNNNNNNNNNNNNNNNNNNNNNNNNNNNNNNNNNNNNNNNNNNNNNNNNNNNNNNNNNNNNNNNNNNNNNNNNNNNNNNNNNNNNNNNNNNNNNNNNNNNNNNNNNNNNNNNNNNNNNNNNNNNNNNNNNNNNNNNNNNNNNNNNNNNNNNNNNNNNNNNNNNNNNNNNNNNNNNNNNNNNNNNNNNNNNNNNNNNNNNNNNNNNNNNNNNNNNNNNNNNNNNNNNNNNNNNNNNNNNNNNNNNNNNNNNNNNNNNNNNNNNNNNNNNNNNNNNNNNNNNNNNNNNNNNNNNNNNNNNNNNNNNNNNNNNNNNNNNNNNNNNNNNNNNNNNNNNNNNNNNNNNNNNNNNNNNNNNNNNNNNNNNNNNNNNNNNNNNNNNNNNNNNNNNNNNNNNNNNNNNNNNNNNNNNNNNNNNNNNNNNNNNNNNNNNNNNNNNNNNNNNNNNNNNNNNNNNNNNNNCAGAUAUAUAUGAUAUAAUCUCAUUUUUUUUAUAAACUCAAAGGUUUAAAUAUACAUGUUAGUCUUUAAUUAUAUAAAAGUAGUAUUAAUGCUUAGUAUAGUUUUUUUUUAGAUAUAAUUCUUUAAUAACUAAUUAAUUUUAUGUUAGAAGUUAGGUCCAAAAUUGCUCUUAAACUUACUUUGACCAAACUUAAGUAGAAUCUACACAAGCGCCACAUGCUACCACUACUAUAUGUUGGAUUCUCUAGAAGUAAAUAGCUUAAAUAAAGCUGAGAUGAUUGAAGUGGUGACUUUCCAAUUAUUAUUCCAAGACUAGAUAUUACUCAGUAUAGAAUAAUAUUUGGUAAAUGCCUAUAGCCAUGAUCUUAAUAGAAUCUUUGGAACUCAAUCAGAUUUAUUUGAUAGAACAUUGUAAUAAAUGUUAAAACAUACAAUUGAUAAAGGAGUUAAUAAAGAUUGGUGAUUGAGCCAAUACCAAAAGAAAAGCCAAAUAAUAUUGAUUGAAGAUCAAUGAUGGCAUUUUCUAUAAGAUUUAUGUUUAAUUAUUUUUUAUUUAAUAAGAUGUUAUUUUUUUUCUAUAACCUAUAGUAAUAAGUAAUAGAUACAAAUGUAGUCAUUUCUAAAACAUAUUAGCAACUAACAAAGAGCAGUCAAAACUUUGAGAUAGUUUUAAGAUAAUUUCUAUAAAAAUAAGAAACGUGCAUUAAUUCAAGAUGCAUGUGAAUAUUAAAAAUUGAUUAAGAAAAAAUGAUGUUGAAUAAUUAAGGAGAAAGGUUGAAAAGUUAGUAGAUAAGAAUUUAAUAGAGAGGUUGUAGAUUGAGAAUUAAAAUUACUUAGAAAGAUGAAAAAAUUGAAACAUGAUGUAAAAUUAGUUUUGAGGAAGAUUAAAUCUAAAAAUUUAAAAACAAGUGAAUGAAAGCAAAGUUAAGAGUGGAUAUGAUAAAUAUCAAGUUGGGGAUGUAUCACAAAUAUACAUAGGUACUCUAAUAACUAUCUAUAUGAUUAUGUAGAAGUAAGUAAAAGUAGAUAAAAGUAGGUUAAUUUCAUAAGACCUUCUAGACAAGCUUUCUAAAAGCUUCAUAGAUAUUUCUUUGACUUUACAUGUAUUUGUAGUUGAUUUAUAGGUUAGAAACUUGGUCAAAAAGUUAACCACAAGUUGGUAGCUUGCGGAAGAAGGUAACUAUGUGGUACACAUAUAAGAAACUUGUCUUGCAAAGCCAACACAUUUUGGAGGUCCUAUAAGAUAUUUCCAUGUAUCUCCUAGUUAAGAGUAUAUAUAGAGGCAAGAAUAAAGCCUUCUUUAUUCUUGCCAACAUCUUUUUAGUCGUUAGUCUUCUUUCAAGACUUUCUAGUCCUCUUAUUUUUGGCAAUGGCCAUUCUAGUUCAAUAUUAUAUCAUAUUUGAAUGACUUUUUAGUUCCUUUCAAUAACUCAAGAGAGUUUUGAAGAUUUUCUUUCUUCAAGAUUCAUGUCCUUAUUAGGUUGUUAUUUGACUUUCUUUGAGAUUUUUGAAUUAAUUAAAUUAUAAAAGAAUUAGUCAUGGAUAAGAUUCUUUUAGAGAUGAAAGAUAUAAUUUGGAAUUUAAGAAGUGAGACUUGCCUUUAAUCACCAAAAACUAUAAACUUAAAGACAUAAUGAAUAGGCUUUUGUAAAAAAGAAGAAAAAUUGAUCAUAGAACCAUUUCAAUUUUUUACACUAUUCUUACAACAUCUAAGAAGAAUAUAAGUUUUAUUAUAUUUUAAAUUUAAUGAUAAAAAAGGUUAUAAAUUCUUGAUCUUUAUCUUCUACCUUAAUCAUUAAUAUCAUAUUAAUAAAACUUAGAUUACAAUUAUUUCAAAAGUACUAUUUGGCUCUUGGACGGAGAAUUGGGUAGUUAUGUUCUUGAAUAAGAUUUGGUGAGCUUCUUUUGAGAUUUAGAAGCCAAGGUUUUUUAGAGUAUGUUCCUUCUUCUAUUACAUAUAUAAGAUUUAUAAUCUAUUAAUGACCAAAGAAAAAGAAAAAUGGGUAAAGUAACAUAUUGGUUGGCACGAUGAGGUAGUUGAAGUUUGAAUCGUGGAAGAAAAGCUAAACAUAUUUUUAACAAAAGAUAAUUAUAAAGAAGUUUUAGAAUCAAUUCAUAGAAUUAAUCUUUGAUUGAAUCUAGACUUAUUUCAUAUAGGAACUUGAAUUUCAAUUUGAAAGAGUAAAGAGAUUUUUAUAUGAGAUAGCAAUCUCUUGUAUGAACUAAAUACAAAAUUUUGUACAAAAUAUUUUGAUGAUAUAAUUAAAUAUAUUUUUAACAAUGAAAUCAUAUUCUUAAACAUUAAAAUUAAGCUUUCAUUCUAUUAAUAACUUCAAGUCUCAAAGCUAAGUAAAUGUUGAAGGAAUUGGUACAUAUGUAUUUGUUACAUAUUUAUUUAUUUUUAUCUUGCAAUAUAAUCCAACAUGUCUUAAUUUUUGUAACAUAAGAUAAAAAAAUAUUAUUUAUAUGUAUUUUUUAUUAUUACAAUCAAUAAGAAUAUUUUUAUAAAAUAUAUAAAAUAAUUAAAAAUUUUAAAAAAAAUAUACGAAUUAUUAAAUUUAAAAAAUUAAUCAAUUUUUUUUAGUCUUAAAAACAUGAUUUUGUAUCCAAAAUAAAAAUACUUGGUUAAAAAAAACAUCUUCAAUUCAAUGCCUUCUCUAAUAUGUACUAGAUUACAAUUCUUUUAUAGAUCUAUUUUAUAUAAAUUUUAGAUUCAAAUAAUUAUAUAAGAAGUUUUAAUAUAAAAAUAAAAGAAAAAAAAUCUAUAAUAGUUAAGUUGUUUAAUUGAUUGUAAUCUAUAAUUAUUUGAAAGGAUCUUUUAUUAUUAUUAUUUUAUAGUUUUUUAUUAAUAUUUUUAUAAAGGAUUUAAAUUUUUAUUUAAAUAAAUUUCUUAAGAAUAUAUUUGUCAGAAUAUUUAUUAAAAUUGGUUAUAUUUAAAUUAAUUUCAAAAUAUUCUAAAUAAAAAAUAAUUUUUUCUUUUGCAUCAAUUUUAUAAUUAUAAAAAUAUAUUUAGAUAUCAAUAAUAGAUAUUUUUUAAAUAUAUUUUAAAUCUCAUUAUAUUUUUCUAACAUUACACUACAACUUCCACUCAAAUAAAAAUCACAAGCACUCAAGUCUUUUUAAGCAUGUACAAAUAUCUUUAUUUUAAUAGAUAGAGAUUUAAUUUUUUUUAUAUAAAACAUAUUUUUUCAUUUAAUGAAUUUUCUAUAUAAUCAAGUCUUGAUGAAAGUUUUUUAAAAAAACUUGAUAUUAAUAAAUAAAAAAAAUUAAAAGAAAAAUGAUAAAUUACACCAUAUUCAAGAACCUCAUGCAUUAGAUUAUAUUUUACUUCAUUACAACGUUAAUUUGUUUAAAUCUAAACUAUAUACAUGCUCUCGAUUUUUUUAUUUUUUUGUUAUUGUUUCUUGUAAUUUUUCUUCUUUAUCAGGUAAAUGCAUUUUAAUGUAAUUAUUUGUUGAAAUGUAAUCAUAUAUUAUAGUUUUUAUAGCCCCCGCUCACAAAAAAAUGCUUUUGCUCUUAUAACUUUGAUUCCAACUCCAUUUUUUAUUUUUUUGUUAUUGUUUCUUGUAAUUUUUCUUCUUUAUCAGGUAAAUGCAUUUUAAUGUAAUUAUUUGUUGAAAUGUAAUCAUAUAUUAUAGUUUUUAUAGCCCCCGCUCAUAAAAAAAUGCUUUUGCUCUUAUAACUUUGAUUCCAACUCCACAUGUACUUAUAUAGUAGUAUACUAUUAUAUUUUCUUGAUAUAUUUUGUUCUUGCUUCAUUAAUCUUUUUCUAGUUUUGAUAUCCAUUCCUACAUAUAUAAUAUUUUUUAAAAAAUAAUUAUUAAAAACUUUUCUAUUUGUUUUUUUUUUGUUUUGUUUUUAGUUUCAUAUUUUAAAUUUCCUAAUUUCAUAUAAUUUUGUAGCUAAAAAUAUUAUCUUCUAAGACUAUCAAAAAAUAAUUAUGCACUUUGCAAAUCUUUUACCAAACUUUUCUUCUCAAUUAUAACUAACUCUUGUUACACUAUACAAGUCUAAAACCAUCCAAUGAGACUCUACAUUCUGAAAAAAUUGUAACAUAACAAACUUCAAUUACAUUUAAAAGCCUAGUUUGAAAGGUCAUGGUUCAAAAGCAUUAUUAAGGUUCCAUACUUGGUAAAGAAAAGCAUUAUUUUAGAAGCCUUGACCUUUUGAUAUAAUAUUAAAUAAGAAGAGGCUAUAAAAUAAAUCAACUUCUUUUAAUUAUUUAUUAUUAGUUAGAAAUUAACAAGAAAUAUUUUAGAAGAGUGUUUUUGAUUUAUUUCCAAUUAAAUGAUCAAUCUAAGAUAUCACAAUGUAUUUUAUUAUUUCAAAACAUAAUACUAUUAUAUUUAACAAAAAUCAAUAGAUUGGUACAAAUGAUGUGUGUGAGAUUUUGUUUUAUUGUUAUUACCAAUUAUAAGUUUUAUAAACUUAAAUUUAUUUGUUAUUUUUUUUGAUGUUUCUCUAGUUUAUUUUACUUUAAGGAAUAAAGCAACACCAACACAUUCCAAUAUUUUUCUUAAGCAUUACUUAAUCAGUUGAUAUUUGCAACACUUGAUAUGUAGUUAUUAUAAGGAUGAUUUUUUUAAUGUACCUUCAUCAAAGAUAAAGAUUUUGAUCUUAAAUUGGUAGAAUGUAUACAAAAUUAUUGUUAGUCAAUACUUGAGUUACUUUUAAAAAUCUAAAAAUAUCAAAAACACUUAAAAUAGGAAAAAGUUUAUAUAUAUCCAUGUGAUUUGUAAUAUUUAAAAUAAAAUCCCUGUAAUUUUUGGAAAUUAUGGGAAUUCCCUUCAGAGAAUAUUCUUUGAAUUUUUUGUUGUUGCAGUUGCAGACACAAUCAUUGUUGCACACAGCAAAUUUUGUGACUGCACAAUAUCUUGUGCACCUACCCCUUUUGCAAACCAAAAUAUGGAGGAAGACCCACAUUACAUGAACAAGCAUAUGCAUACACAUGAUGUUGAAGAUGAACCCCUAAAAGGGUGUUGAGAAGGGUAUUCCCACAAUUUCCAAAAUUACAAUGGUAUCCUUCAAAAUAUGGUAAAUUGCAGGGGGAUUUAUCCAAAUUUCCCUUAUAAAUAUAAUAUAUACACACACACAUCUUCUUAUGAUUCAAUGCUUCAGCAGAUAGUAAAAACGUGAUACUUUAAUUCUUUUUUUUAAAUAUCUUUCAUGGGAUUAAUAAUAAUCAAAACGUAUCAAAAGUUUUAUAAAAUCAAUUUCUUGUACUGUCUCUAUUGCAAAAUAUGAUAAAGACUAUUUCUAAAAAUAUUGUAUUAAAUCAGUUGGUUUUGAAUAAAAAUAUACACAGAGGUGUUGAAUUCUAAUUUUCUAAACAAUUAUAUAAUGUUUUUGGUCUUUGAAAAGGUAGAAAAAUCAGAAUCAAAUUAUAUUAAUAUCAGAUAUAUUGACGUUUAAUAAAAAAAAAAUAUAUAUAUAUAUAUAUAUAUAUAUACGUUUGAAUAAACAUUAUGUGAAUAAUAUAUAGUAUAAUAUUAAUAACUUAAUAAUCAUAAUCAUAAUAAUAUUUUUAUCAUUUAUCAUAAAGAUUUGGUUUUAUGCACGUAUUUAAUGAUUGACAGAAUUUCUUUUGAAGAAAUAUUGAAAUUUCACAUACAUACAAACAUUUUGUUAAUUUGGUUGAAAUGUGCCAUUACCAUAUAAUACUCUAAAUACGUUAAACCACUUGUAUAACGUCCAAUGUUUUUAGUUCCUCAUAACUUUCACAUAGAGAAAAAUAAAUUUUGCUAAAAUGGUCACUGCAUUAACUGUUGUCGAAAUAUGCAUUCUAUCAUUCAUAGCUAAUGUUUUAAAAAAUAACUAAAAAAUAAAAAUAAAGAUAAAAUAAAACAAAUCCCAAACACACAGUAAGUAAAGCACUUUUGACGGACAAUGUUUGAUAACUUGUAAUACUUCCGCCAUUCACACAUUGUGUGUCUCAAUCACGUGAAAAUAACAUGUUGAAAGAAACAAGUAGGGUGAUAAAGAGUGAGAGAGUGAGCAGCAGCAGAGUAGGAGUGCAGCUCUCGCUUGAGGAAUGAAUGGGGCUGCGGAGUAGUGAGCCAUGCAUGGCCUGGGUGGCGCGACGGCGGAGGAAGGGUUGCUGCACCACAAGCGAGGAGAAAGCCAUCGCUUGUGGAAACCGAGGAGGAAUGGAAUGGGAUCGGGAGCGAGGCGCGACGCCACGGGCGGAGGUCCCAGCAGCAGCUGCAGAGGGCCCACGGCCAGAGAAUCAGCGACAACGCCAGGGCCGAACUCAGCCAGCCAUUGGAGACUGCUACGCCUUAUCCGAAUCCAUUGGUCACCAGCUUGUGGCGGACGGACGCCAUGGCCACUACGCUUUGCUUCAUCUUCCUCGUCGCGCCGCCUCCUUUGCACAUUCUCUGUCCUCGUUAUUGAUCGCGUCCUCCACUCCCCCUGAGUCGUCGCUGUGGGGUUCCCUCUUUGGGUGAGGAGUAAUGGCAGCCAUGGCAGCAGCGAAGGCUGAGUUUCUGGGGCAGUCCCUGGUGGGCAGCCAGAGCGAGGUGGUUGGCCAGAGGAAGGAGGCCAUGCGCACCGUGGCUCUGUUCAACAAGAAGGACGCUGGAAAGGCAGCCGCGCCAGUGAAGAAGGCCGCUGGAAAGGCAGCCAGCGCUGUGAAGAAGGCGAACACUAAGGUGAAUGUUCCCAGCAACGAGGAGUUGGCCAAGUGGUACGGUAAGUAUUGGCGAGUCGCUCUGCAAUUUGGGCCUUGUGGAUUGUAAGAGUUGAAUUGCGGGGUUACAGAUGAUCUACGCUUAGGGGGCUUCUCUUUUCGAGCACUGCAUAUGGCCAAUACAGUGAUAGAAGGGCUUGCAGCGAUGCAAUGCUCGCCGGCUUUUGUGCCUCGAAGUAGGAAUGUGUUUGGUCGUUGUAGCUGUUAUGCUCUAUAUUUACAGUUGCAGUGUCUGACUAGUCAUUGUUUGCGACAACGCAGGUCCUGAUAGGAGGAUUUACUUGCCCGAGGGUCUUUUGGCCAAGGAUGAGAUUCCUGCGUACCUCACCGGAGAAGUCCCCGGAGAGUACGUUUUCUUGUUCUCUUUCUGUUCGCAUGUCUAGGAAGAACAGUUUACCAUAUUUUAAUCACCCUCGCCGAUGUAGAAGGGUUCAAUGAAAUGGGUUGCGUUGAGGCUUUCUAAAUGUGUGACCGAAUUGUGACAAUGCAGCUAUGGAUACGAUCCCUUCGGUUUGUCAAAGAAGCCAGAGGACUUCGACAGGUAAAUAUCCGAUAUGUUUUUGUUUCUCAUUUACCACGACGAUGUCGCGAUUUGGAGUCUACGACUUAAAUUUUUCUGACGGAAAUGUUUCUUCAGGUACCAGGCAUACGAGCUGAUCCAUGCGCGUUGGGCUAUGUUGGGAGCCGCUGGGUUUGUUCUUCCCGAGGCAUUCAACAAGUUCGGAGCCGUCUGCGGCCCUGAAGCCGUCUGGUGGAAGGUAUGCUACUGUGUCUUUCCGUGCUACUCCGAGUCGGCCAAUUUCCGAGCAGCCUCUGCUGUGUAGAUGCUGUGCGUAGAGAAGUCCAUGUGGACGUAGGCAUAUCAUUCUGAUGAACUGAGUCUAAUCUUAUCAGACUGGAGCAUUGCUGCUGGAAGGUGACUCCAUCAAGUACUUCGGAGCCACCGUUCCCAUCAACCUGGCCGCCGCCGUGAUUGCCGAAGUUAUCCUGGUUGGAGGAGCUGAGUACUACAGAUCGACUAACAAGUCUCCCCUCGGAUCGGUAUGUCCCUGCACCAAUUCGCUGUCAUGUGGAGAAAAAGGUGGUAGACAAGACAGAGGUGGCCUUAUCAUGGUUUGGGGGUGUGGCGAGGUGAAUCGAUCUUUGAACUGUCCACGUUCUGACCGUGAGGGAUGUUUAUGGAUUGCAGGACUUGGAUAGGCUGCACCCAGGAGGUGCAUUCGACCCUUUGGGGCUUGCAAAGGACCCCGACCAGUUCGCGCUGUUGAAGGUGAAGGAGAUCAAGAACGGGAGGUUGGCUAUGUUUUCGAUGCUGGGGUUCUUCGUCCAGGCAUACGUGACUGGAGAGGGACCGGUGGAGAAUUUGGCUGCACACUUGAGCGACCCAUUCGGAAACAACUUGCUGACCGUCAUCCAGGGUACUGCUGAGCGGACUCCCAGCCUUUAAGCAAGAAAAGCUGGAUAUGUAGUGACUGCCGAGGAUUGGGAAUGUAUAGACCUAGGAGAUCUUAAUGCACGAAGCUCGUUGCUUGGAGAAAAUUCAUCGUACAUAUUGGAUAUGUGAAAGACAAUGCAGUUAGAAAACCUGCUUUCCUUUGCGUUAAUUUAGCUUCGCUUUGAAGACUGAGUUUUUCAAAUUGAAGUGAUGACUCUUUUAAACUAACCAAGUCCACGAUUAUCGAUAUGUGAAUGGUAUGAGACUAUGACGUGUCUUCUUUAAACUGUUUUCCUAUCUCAAUCGCAAUCCAAUUCGUUGCCCAGUUACAAUUAUGAUGGUAUUCAUAGUUUACCUAACAACUAUCAGUCGUCAGAAUUCGUGCUCAAACUCAUAAUUCCUUGUGUGCCAUACAGCAGCAGACAAUGUGAAUCAUAAUAAUUUGUCGUGCAACAUUUCUCAAAAUAUUCGGCCGAUGAACUAUUUAACUGUCUCAAUCAAUGUGCUCACUUCCACGUGUCUCGUGCACCAGCGACAAUAUUGAUAUGAACUAUCAUCGAACACUGUCAUAAUCUGUGCUGACCCAACUAACACUUUCAAAAUGUGACGAGAAGGACGCUAUAAAAACUCUCUAUUCGAUGCCAUCCAAUUGCUACAACCUGCCCUGGACAAUCUACUGGCUACAACAAGUCAAGCUGCUUCAGUGACACUAUGUCGUGAGAAAGAAGGUCAACUAUUCCCGAAAAGUGAGAGGCCCCAAUUCAUCGAAUCCUUAAGAAUCUCCGUCGAGAAGUAAAUAGUAUUUGCAUCGCCAUUGGAUGUCUGAGGGCGCCUUAUCCAUAUCCUACUGGCUACGCUCAUGGUUACACAAGCUCGCCAUCCUUUCGCUCAUGCCCUGGAGUGCUCACGUCGUUCUUCUACACACAGCCAUCAUCUAUGGUGGUGGUGGUAAUCUGCCAGAGCCUCCAAUUUAGCAACAAUCUGGUGAGGAGCGAUGGCGGCCAUGGCAGCUGCAAAAGCUCAGUUUCUGGGUCAGUCCCUGGUGAGCAGCUGGAGAGGAGUGUUAAAAGAAGAGAAAAGAAGCAAGCAUAACAGAAUUGAUCAUCUGUUAUUAUUCUCUUAAAGCGUGUAUUACAGAGGUUGAUGACAACCUAUAUAGGUUGUAGAUUGAUUACCAAAAUAUAUAGAUAAGACAUUCAAUUGGUGAUAGUCCUUGUUCUUUACUAAUUAUUUAAUCCAAAUAGCUUUUUUGUACAAGCUAUAUAUUCUACUUUGAUAGAAGAUAAUGCUAUAAUAGGUUGUUGCCAACUUUGCCAAGAAAUAACUCCACCGGCUAAUGUAAAUAUACAACUAAGAAUGGAUCUUUGGUAGUUUUCAUCACAUGUCCAAUUACUACUACUUAAAUCUUAAAUUUAAUGUUGAUAUUCAAUUAAAUUUUAUUUACUUUGAUGAAUAAUUUUAUAAUUUAAAAUUCCUUUAAGAUAUCUUAUUAUACCUUUUAUUGUAGAUCAAUGUGCUUAACUUGGAUUAGCUAUAAAUUUGGCAACUUGGCAAAUAGAAAAAGUAAUAUCAAGCCUAAUAUGAAUCAUGGCAUGUAUUAAGCACCUUACAAUAAUUAAGUACAAGACAUCCUUCAUUAUCUUUAUAUUUUUAUGAUCAAUGAAACUUAUAUCCAUAGUCAAUCUUAAUUUGGCUUCAAGAAGGAUUGAAACGGGUUUAUAAUCUUAUAUAUUAAAUCUUAUAAAAAUUUCAGUUAUAUAUUUAUUUUAUAAUAAACUAAUAGACUUGUUAAUUUUAUUGUAUUCAACCAUUAUACUUUGGCAACCAUAUCUACUUUCAAUAGAUCUUUUUUUAGUCAUUUCAAAGCCACUUGCCAAAAGUCUUUAAGUAGUAUUUAAGAAAUAUAUAUUAUUACUAAUAAUAAUAGAGUUGUCUACAUAUGAUGUCUAUAUAAUAAAAUUUUGAUGCAUUAGCUCUCUUUUAAUAUAUAUACUAGAAUCUAUUUUACUAUAAGAAAAAUCAUUUUCAAUAAAUUAAUGGUUAAAUUAUUCAUACCACAUACACAAAAUUUAUUUUAAUCCAUAUAUACAUUUAAUAACUUAUAAACUAUAUGUAUAAAGUAAAGAUCAAUAUAACUCUUUGGUUGAGCCAUAUAAAUUUGUUUAUUUAAAAGACCAUGAAGAAAUACGGGCUUAAUGUCUAUUUGAUAAACAUUUAAAUCAUAUAUUGUAGUUAGGGAUAAUAAAAUAUACAAUGAAUUUAUUUUUAUCAAAAUAAAAAAUAUCUUUUCAUAGACAAUAUUGUUUUCUUGUGAAAAACACCUAGCAACCAAUUGAGCCUUAUAAUAGGUGAUUAUUCUAUUAGGAUUAUAUUUUCUUUUCGAAAUCCAUUUAUAACUUACAGUGACUCAAAAAACUAUUUCAAUGUUGACAUAUUUUAGAAAGAAUGGUGUAUUACAGAUGAAUUGUUCUGAAUAACGACAUGUGGUAUAUAUAGCAAAUAAAGUAUUCUUUUACAGCUACCAAAUGAGUCCAGGUUGAAAAGAAUCCAUUAGGUAAUUGUGGAGCUAUGACCAAUCUAAUUUGGAAUAGUAUUGAAACAAUCUUUUGACUAUGGUGUCAAAUUUUUGGAUUCUAUCAAUUACUUAAUAUUAUAACAUUCUAUCAUCAUUAGAUUUAUUAUGAAAAUAUUAUUACUAAUCUAAUGAUAUUAUUAAUGCUUACUAGCAGGUAUAAAAGCACUAUUAUUAAUUACAAUUCCUAGCACAGACAUAUUCUAAAUUAUUACAUUCUAAGUCCUUUUAGAAUCUUCUACAAAUUUCUAAAAUCUUCUAGAUAUUUGUAGAAUCUUCUACAAUCUUUUAGAAAGUUCCAUAGGCUUUUAGAAGCCUCUUUAGGCUUUUAGAAGCCUCUUUAGGCUUUUAGAAGCCUCUUUAGGCUUUUAGAAGCUUCUUUAGACUUCUAAAAACUUCUAUAGAAAGUACUAUAGACUUUUGUAACCUUCAUUAUAGUAUAAAUAUGAAUCUUUGGAACCACUUUUACUAUUAAUCUUAUUCUUUGUCUUUAAUCUUAAUAUAUUUCUUUGUCAAAUUCUUGUAUCCUUGACAAUUCCUUAAACAACUAGGAAAUCCAUUUCUUGCUCUCUCCAAAAUAACAUCACCUCUACUCUUCUUCAUUCUCAAAAAUCUUAUGGCCAAAUUGCUUCUGAACUUGGCUGUAGUAAAGCUACUAUCUCUAGGCUAGCAAAAAAGAUCACUUUUAAUAGGGAGAAUCUUAAAUUAGGUAGACUAAAGAAGCUCACUGUAGUAGAUGAAAGAACAAUCAUUUGCCAAAUCAACAUUGGGAAGAUUGAAAAUGUUAUUGAAGUUGCUAAAAAUCUUUAUAAUAUUAUCAAUAAUCCUAUGUCAAUCCAAACCAUUUGAAAUGUCCUUAAGAAAUAGAAUCCGAAAGCUGCGGUAAAAAAAAAACAAACAAACAAACAAACAAACAAACACUAUUAUCUAUCUGCCAAUAGAAACAAUGCUUGGAUUUUCCUCUGAAGUACAAAGAAUGGAUUGUGGAGAAUUAGAAGAGGAUUAUUUGGUGAAAUGAGACAAAAAUCAAUAGAUUUGGGUCAGAUGGCAAAAAAAAGGAUGUAAAAAUAAAAAGAACAAUCUUUACUUGACAAAAAGAUAUAAGAAAUAAUUAAGCAUGGAGGUGGAAAUAUAAUGGUAUAGAGUUGUAUGGAAUGGAAUGGAGUUGAUAGAAUGGCAGAGGUUGAAGAAAGGAUAGAUGUCAAGCAAUUUGUAGAAAUUUUUGAAAAAAAUCUACUUCUUAGCAUUGAAGAAUCUAGCAUUUUUGAAGAAGAAGUGAUUUUUCAAUAAGAUAAUAAUCCCAAGCAUAACUCAAAACUAGCAUCAAAGUGGUUUGAUCAUCAUAGGAUUAAAGUAAUAGAUUGGUCUGCUCAGUCUCCUCAUCUUAAUCCCAUUGAACAUCUUUGGAAGCACCUCAAAUGUCAGCUCAAUACCUAAAAGAUAAAACCAAAGGAUUGGAAAAUAUGAGAAUUAAUAGGUGUAGAAUGGAAUAAUAUUAAAGCAAUUUUGUGCCAAAAGUUAAUAGAAAGUAUGCCUAGGAGGUUGAAAUUAGUUAUCAAGGCCAAAAAAGGUCCUAAAAAAUACUGAUAUGUAAUUGGAUGCCACAUUCAUAAUUUUUUUUUAAUAUUGUUCGAAAUUGAAUUGGUCAUAGUUUCAUAAUUACCUAAUGGAUUCUUUUCAACCUAGGCUCAUUUGGUAGUUGUAAAAGAGUACUUUAUUUGCAAUAUAAACCACAUGUCAUUAUUCACUAUAAUUCAUUUGUAAUACACCAUUCUUUCCAAAAUAUGUCAAUAUUGAAAUAAUUUUUUGAGUCACUAUAUUAUAAAGCAUGUUAAUGAAAGAUCCUUCAAAAUUCAUGUAUUUUUUUAAAUUAAAGAACCAUAUUUAGAAUUUAAUGCUUCUUUCCACUUCGUAGUAUCUUCACCAUUUAAAGCUUUUGUAAUUAGAUAAGAUUCAUUAGAAUCAUGUAAAGUAAAUAAAUAAUAAGUAAUAUAUGAUUAUAAUAUUUAUUUAAUAAUUUUUUAUUAUUAAUAUUUUGGAUUUUUUUGGUAGAUUGAAUGAUAAAAUUCUUAAAUUAGUUAAAUGAGUAUUCUUAAUUAUAUCAUCAUUAUUUGACAAAAGAUUUUUUAAAGCAAUUAAUAAUUCAAAAAAUAUUUCUUCAUGUUGAAAUUUACUUUGAAUACAUUAGUAUGAUUACUUUGAAUACUUUGAACCUUAGUAUGAUUACUUUGAAUACUUUGAACCUUAGUAUGAUUACUUUGAAUACUUUGAACCUUAGUAUGAUUACUUUGAACAUUAGUAUGAUUACUUUGAAUACUUUGAACAUGUAUCAUGAGAAGACAUAACAUCAUUACAUAAUAUUGAUUGUCAAAUUGAAGUAAUUUUUGAAAAUUGUUAUAAAAGAAUAUAUUUUGUCAAGUAGAUAUCUUAAAUCAUGUUUCAACUAAAGCAUCAAUAAAGCUUUUGUUAUCAUUAUUGUCAUUUUGUAUUCAUUUCUUUCUUUGAGUAAAUAAAGUUUUUAAUAAGGUAAUUCCAUCAAAGAUAAUAUUACAACUAACAAUUUUUUUUUAUUUUUAAUUAUAUAAUAGAUAUUAUUCACCAUAGCCAAAAAAAAUAUAUUUUUUAUUUUUUAUAUCAAGCUUAUGUUGGUACUCAUUAAAAAUAUGUACAUAUGUUAUAUAUCCAUAGAUCUUCAAAUGACUUAAAUGAGGUGUUUUACCACAAUAUAAUGUCAAAAAAGUCAUUGAAGCUUCUAAUGUCUUUAAAAAGGUUCUAUUUUGUAUAUAACAAGUUGUGGCCUUGGCAUCUGCCCAAAAAAAUUGGAUAAUCUAGAUGUAUGCAAUAGACAUCUUGCAAACUUUAAUAAAAUUUUAUUCUUUUGUUUGCUAACACCAUUUUGUUCUAGUAUAUAGGAUAUAGUGAAUUGACAUAUUAUUCCAUGUUGAACACAAAAAUAAUUUGUCCAAGAAACCUGAGGACUUUGGCAGGUGGAGUCUCGGUCUACUCACACAUUUGUCAUCUGCUACAUCCAUUUUUAUUGUUCAGGAAUUUGAGUAAUUGUUUCGGGCUUUGGAUUGAGGGUUCUUGUAUCUACAUUCCGCAGUUACCAAGCUUAUGAGCUUAUCCAUGCUCGAUGGGCCAUAUUGCGAGCCGCUGGCUUUGUUCCUCCUAACGCAUUCAACAAGUUUGGCUCCGUCUGCGGCCCUGAAGCUAUGUGGUGGAAGGUACGUAAUGAAGUGAAUAUCCUCUCGGGUGUGCUCUCAUGUAGACAUGGAGUUUACAUCUUAGUGACAUUUGCUGGUGUUAGAAUCGCAGAUGAGCACUUGUUGCGAAAGCAAUGUUAGUGGUUUUAAUACUCAGUUAUUUUAACCGAGUAACUUGAUUCUGACGAGACUUAUGUGUUCAUUAGACCGGAGCAUUACUGCUGGAAGGUGACUCCAUCAAGUACUUCGGAGCCACCGUUCCCAUCAACCUGGCCGCUGCCGUGAUUUCCGAGGUUAACCUGGUUGGAGGAUCCGAGUACUAUAGAUCGACCAACAAGUCUCCCCUCGGAUCGGUAUGUCCCUGCACCAAUUCGCUGUCAUGUGGAGAAAAAGGUGGUAGACAAGACAGAGGUGGCCUUAUCAUGGUUUGAGGGUGUGGCGAGGUGAAUCGAUCUUUGAACUGUCCACGUUCUGACCGUGAGGGAUGUUUAUGGAUUGCAGGACUUGGAUAGGUUGCACCCAGGAGGUGCAUUCGACCCUUUGGGGCUUGCGAAGGAUCCCGACCAGUUCGCGCUGUUGAAGGUGAAGGAGAUCAUGAACGGGAGGUUGGCUAUGUUUUCGAUGCUGGGGUUCUUCGUCAAGGCAUACGUAACUGGAGAGGGACCGGUGGAGAAUUUGGCUGCACACUUGAGCGACCCAUUCGGAAACAACUUGCUGACCGUCAUCCAGGGUACUGCUGAGCGGACUCCCAG